UUUUUUGACAAUGCCACGCAGACGCAGACACGCCGCUCGCCCCGUUCGUCCAUUCCACAGACGGAGGAGAGUUGUCCGACACAGACGCUAGGCAACGCUAAUAAACAUGCAUUUUUAGGGCCGGGACAAGUAUAAUGAUC